rnacentral:lncRNA from 1 species
CUUCAACUUGCUCGAGGAUACCGCACCUCAAGACUUCAACCUUGCUUGUGGAUACCGCACCAUAAGACUUCACACACUAAGUCUUAGGGUACUUAGCGAACCCAGCAAUCAAUGAGAAGAUAUGUUCUUCUCAAACACCUUUCUCAUUUACAACAAGAACUCUCUCAAAAGAGUAGAUAAAGAGAUACAAAUUUAGCUCUAUGAACAACUCAAAGUUGUCUCUCAAAUGGCUCAACAAAAGCU